CUCUCUCUCUCUCUCUCUCAAAGAAGUUGUUCCUGUUUGGCCGAAGCCGGGGGGGAGGGGAGAUGAGCAGCCGAGCUCCUCAGGCGCAGACAAAGGUUCCUCCGCGAGGAAGGGGAAGGGGCUCCACGGCGGAGGGAGCCGAACCGAGCCGAUCCGAGUCGAGCUGCGCCCACCCCCCACCUUCAGGUUUGAAGAGCGCAAUGGUGCAUUCACGAAAUCGCAUUUGUGCACUGCGCAGUGGAAACGAGCGGGGAGAUGAAUGGCGCCAAGAAGAGCGCAGGGCUGUGUGUAGAAAGGGGUGACCAGCUGGAGGUGCUGCAGGGACCGCAGACUUGCAGGUGUGCCAACUCCCGCAGCUAAGAAGACAUGUUAAAAUGUUCCACUUAGGCUUUUAAUUAAUGAAGCCACUAAGUGAGUUGCCCACCAGAGUGGAAACACCCCUCCCCGUCCUUCCCGUGUGAGGACUGGGCAGCCCCGGUGUAGAUGGAACCUCAAGAAUUGCCCCAGGUCUUGGCCAAAGACAGGGCAGUUUCUCCAGGUCCUGAGCGUUACCUAAAGAGCAAAGCACUGCCUGAUUUUUUUUUUUGGACUAACCUGCUGAGAUUAAUGCCCUCACCUGAAGUUCAGAUCAGAUGUUGCAUACAUAAUUAUUCUAUGCAAUGCUAGAUCAUUUAAGCACUUUUUGUGUGUCUGUGUUUUUGUUGUGGAAGUGAGUGCACAAUACAGAAAUGUCAGCAAGUAAUUUUCUGCAAUGGGAGAAAGUUUUGUGUGAACUUCACCUGUUAAUUUACUCGUGUUACACAUAUGUUUCUGAAUUAGACAUGUACUGUACACUUAAUGUCUUGGAUGAUUUCAUUGGCUUUCAGGAUUAUGCACUUUCCUUUGAAGUGCUGUGGUAAAUGGUGCACCCUCCUUGGUACCUCAGUGCGGUGAGUGCUACCAUGAAGUCAGACCAUGUCUCUCACAUGCCCUCCAGCUUCUGAUUCCUUCUCAUGAAGCAUUCUGUGUAUGAUCUCUAUUAGCUGAUCACUCUGUCCCCACCUCCACUGGUUACAAGGGUGCAUACGUGAGUGUUAUACAGAAUGAGGGCUUUGCUGGAAAGGUAGGAUGAUGGGCUUAUAAUGUUGACACUUGAUUUCUGCACAGAUUCUCUGGUUGUGAGACCAGUUCACCCUCAUGCGUUUCCUGUUGACCGUAGUUGAAUCCAUCUCAGUGGAUUCGCCUUCAUUUAGUACAGCAGAACACUGUAUAUUUUUUGCUCACAUUUCAACCAGUAGUAGUGUUUGGGCAUAUAACACUUAUAAAAUAUUAAAAAGGACCACUCAGUGAAUUUUUGCUGUUGGUACUUAAUAUUGUAUUUUCAUGAGUUUGGAAGCUCCAAGUGUUCCCUUUCCAUGGAGGUCUGCAUGGAGGCCAGUGUCCAUCAUGCAGGGUACAGUCUGGAUGCAUCUACCCACAAGCAAGAUGCACACUCACUCAGUCAAUAUGUUUCACAAAUAAGAACUAUACAAGGUCACGUUACCCUUGAAAUUCAAGACACGUUAAGUGCAGAGGAUCUGAGGAGAUUCUGCUACAUUUUUAGCUGAGGAUUCCUGGCUUGUAAAACCCACAGUCUGUUUAUUUGGUGUUUGUUUGAAUAGUCCGGACAUGGGAAUUAAUGGUUCAUGUAAUGAGGGGGAGGUUCCUAUAUCCUUGCAUGAACUGCAAAUUAUUUCAAGCCAUUGCAACAACAUUCCACAGGGGAGGCAGGAAAUGGAAUAAUCAAACAGGCACACAAACAAACCAUGGCAAAAGUCACAUCACACUGCAGGUAAUUUCCGAAAGACCUGACGCUUUUUAAACCAGGCCUGAUGGAGGACAGGAAACAUACCUGAAUAGGAGUGGCAUUCCUUGUGAUGACAUUGUAUGGAUAAUGUAGAAUCUUUUUUUUUUUUUUUAGCUGAACUGUACUGCUUUCCUGUCAUUGAGGAGACAGAAAAUUGACUUACAGGUAGAACUCCACUUUAGAGAAGUAUCGAUGUAGAAAAGAAUAAGGUGCCAUGAAGGACAAGAAGCAAAACAUUAGGGAAUUUUUAAUAUACGCAUCAUAUAACACACGGUAGGUGGAAUAUUAAAUUAUUAAAAUGACCAGGUAUUGCUAUUUGUGAAUAGACUAAAAAUGAAAGGCAAUGUGAGAAUGUCUUUCGUCUUUGAGUAGACAGAAUGUAUGAUGGGGGGCUGGGGGCAGUGUGUAUUUCUGUCUGCCGUUUGCUUGGCUGCAUACUAAACGUACGGGAGAAAGCUCAGGGGAUUAAUGCGUUUGUUUGCUAUCUAAUCCUUUCCCUGAACCCACACAACCACAAUAUACCCAAAAAGAGUUUGAUAGAAGUGAAAAAAUGAGAGAAGGAUGGAAGAGAAAAACAACAUUGACAAUAAGUAAAUGUUCCUUUCUACAGGAAACAUCUUUUUUAACUGUUUUAUUCACAUUCAUGCUGUGUUCUGAUAGAAAAAGGGGGAGAAGAGACAACUUUUCUCUGGUAAGAAAGCACAUUUCUGUACUGAUGACAGCGAUGUCACUUUUGCUCUGACAUCCAUGAGAGCAUGAUUUUAGAUGUGCAUCAUUUAAUUUCAUACUUCAUUUGCGGUAUACGGCAACCAUAGUAACCAUGUCUUUGUGUAUUUGAGUUUGUGUGCAAACAAAGACAUUUGAAGUUGUAUUUUGAGCCGUUUUAUAUUUCAUUAAAUACACAAUACACUUAGUGCAUUAUGAAGCAUUCUUUUUCCAGGACAGUUGUUUCCUGGUAUUAUAAACCUUGAUAUAUAGUGACACCUGGUAGCAGAGAAAUUUUAAAAAAAAAAAAAAAAAAAAAAACCCCAAACACUUCACAAUUAUGACAAGAAUAAUUUGUCUAACCUAUAGCACUUUAAGACUUAGGCUAAAACUUGAUUUGAGAAGUUUCUUGGAGAGCCUUGGAUGAGGGAACAAAAGCAUCGUAAGUAGAUCCCAAAGGAAGUACACCUUAGUUCGGAUGGGUAGAAUGGACAGCUGCAUAAGAAUAUUCCAAGAGAACAUUCAUACUCGAGAUCUUUGCGAAUGAAUUGUGAUGAAGGUCAGUCUUGGUCAGAAAUCCACCCUCGUUUAAGACAGAAUUUUAAGAACGAUGCUGUAUUUAACAAGCACUACGAACCAUCUGUUACACUUGAGAGCAAAACUGGUACAUAUUAGCCCACAUUCUGAAAGCGUGAUACAGGUUUUGCCUCUAAGAAGAUAAAAGGGCAUCUCAGUAGUCAUAGCACCCCUAGUAUGGCUCUAAAUAGGAGGUAAAGGAAACCAACACAUGACCUCUUCUAAUGUCUGUCACUCUAGGUUAUAUAACAGUCCAGUGUGGCUGCCAUGUUAAGACCCUUAGGAUUUACAUGCUACUAGGCAGGAAGGGGGAUCUUCUAAAGAUGCAAGGAAAAGGGAGUGGCCAAAACCAGUGGGACUCACAGAAACCAGCAGACAAUCUCUGGAAUUUAAGGAAUAUUCAAAAGAGAACCCGCCACUGCAAAAGCAACAGCUUCCAUCAUCUGAUUAUUAUCUAAACUAUUCCUUGGUCAGCAGAUGGCCUUAUACACGGCAGCAUACCCUACAGAGUGUAUGAUGUUUCACCUUAAACCUCUGGAAUUCAUCCAUGCAGCUGUGUCCUCGCGGGUGAAGUGAAGAUGAAGUACCCGGCAUACCACAAGCCUUCCAACCAAAGAUAUCAGCCUGAGAGCACCCUGCUCAAAUCUCAGCGCCGCAUUCCGAAGAUAAUCGCGAAUCGUUUUUAUCCACGCAGAAGCGGGUUUACUGCAUUUGCAGGGUGCCGCAUCCGAGAGCCCCGGCACCAUGGAUGUUUCCUGAUAAUGCGCCAAAUGCAGAAAAACUUAUGCGAUAUCAACUUGUCCUGUAGUGUAAAUCUUAUUAAUAUGCGUGCCUGUGUUGGUUACCCCUGAAACCAUUGCCACAGAUGCAUCUGGUUCACUGUGUCACAGGAGAACCCAUUCCUGCCUCCUCUCUGACAUCAGCUUUCUUCAGGAAACCACCAGCUCUUGGCCUUCUACAAUAUGUCUUGCCUUAACUGGCCAAACCUGGCAAUGGGUCCCGAAGGAUCUUUCCCUCACCCCCUUUCUCCUCUCUCAGCCCUGAUCCAGAGAAGUGAUGGUCUCUCCUGCUCUGUGCUGGAGCUGGAGCCCUCUCCAAGGCAUCCCCCAAUGACCACCUCCUACGGCUAUUUGAUUAACAAGUUCCCUCACCCACUGCUGACAUUUUAACACCUCUGCACAUGCUCUGUCAAUGCUUUUGAGACCUGAGAGCCUUACAGGCAAGGCAGCUUGGGCCCAGGGGUGCAGCUGCUUGUGUCCUGCUUCAGAUUGGAAACACAGCCCUAUUUGGAUUCCCAUGCGAUUCAUUCAGUGCAUUUUAGCGUGCAGCAUUUUGUUCCUCUGCAUGGACCGUUUGUUUGUGUUUUUUUGCUAAACAUUGCCAUCCUACAUUUAUUUAUUUAGCUGACUCGUUU